AUGACGAUGACCGGCUUCCAGCUCCAGCCAGCCGGUCACAGCUUCCGCACCACCAUCGAUCAAUCGCUCCUGCCGCCGAAGAAGAGGGCCGCAGCGGCAUCUCCAUCUCCCACGACGACGACGACGGGCUUGCAGCUCCAGCUAGCCGCCGGGUGCAGCCUCCCCACCACCAUCCAGAUCCAGGACUCGCUGUUGCCGCCCAAGAAGAGGCCGACGAGCACCACCACCAGCGCCUCCUCAUACUCCUCAUCUCUUCUGCUGAAGGCUUCUAUAAGGAAGAGACGGAUGGAUUACUACGUCGUCGUUGACGCCGGCACGGCGAGCUGCGCUCGCAUGGCGGCCGCUCUGCAGCAGGCCGGACCAGCGGCGGCGUGUGGCGCCAUGGCCUCGAAGCGCGCCAGGAAGGCCAGCUCCAGAUACAGCGCGGACGUGUGGACACAGUGA
rnacentral:rRNA from 1 species